UUGGACAAUUCCGGUUAGCCCAUUAGUUUUGUGAGCUUAGAUUUUGAUUGGAAUGUGGGCUGUGUCAACAGAGGAGCAAAGAGGAAAUUAGGCUGGGUGCAACCCGAUUUGGGGUUGUUGUUUGGGACAAUUUGACCCAUUUGGUUCCAAAGAUAAAUAAUAUAGGUUUUAAGGUUAGUCUAGAAAUUUUAGUUUAGGAAAUCUAUCAUAACUGACUUAGGAAACUUCCUGAAAGGUGAGUUUGCGACUGUAUAAAAAAUAAACUUUAUAUUCAGGAAUUCACUAGCAAAAAUGAGAAUUAUAAAACGAGUAAAGGUCAAAAAGUGAAAUCAUUUCUGUUGUCCUAGAGCUCCUCUAUAAAAGGCUUUUACUUCCUAAUCAGGUGAGAUUUUUUGGAGAAUAAAAAACACUGAAAAGCUUAGAAAAUGGCUGAGUCUCUUUCAAACUCCAAAAAUACUGAAAAUUACUGAACGAUUUACUUGGUUUCUGGUUCUUUGAUUCCCUUUGGUUAAUUAGAUUUUCUAGAAGUUCCAAAUCGUGCACCUGGAUUAAAAAUGGUUUGCGGUUGGUUUAAAAGUUUGGUUUGAGUUGUUGUUUGGCACUGGUCCAUUGCUGUUGAUUUACUGUUGCUGCUUCCUCCUAAUCUCAGGCUUUUAUUCUGGUUUAUUUUGUUGUAUUCAAGUACAUGUUUCUGGAUCCUACUUAUGUGAGGCUCGAUUUGAAGUAUGAAAUUGAAAUAUGGAGCUUUAAGCAUAGCAUCGACUCACCUGCUCAUAAUUUAGCUUUAUUUUCGGCAUUACAUUGUUCUGAGUUGUCUGAUGUAUUGCAUUUUAUCCGGGCUGCUGACAGUACUCUCUUAGGGGCUAUAUUUGGACUUUACUUAACAUGGAAUUCAAUUAUCUGUCAAGUAUCUUAUAGCUAGAUGUUGCUGUGAUAAUUGAACUCUUAUCAUUGUAUUUGAUCUUGGACUAUUAUGAUGGAAACUUGAUGAACAAUAUGCUUAGUCAGAUCAGUUGCUAAAUUCUAUGCGCAAUCAUGUUGAUAUUGUGUAAUUUGGACUGAAAAUUUGAACUCUGUCUAUCAUGUAAUUAAUUUGGAUUGUUGUAGUAUGGUUUAUUGUAGACAAGUAGUAUCUUAUCUUGGAAGUUAUUGACUGAAUUGUUUCCCAACUAGUAGUCAAUCUACAGUGAGUUUUCUAAUACUUUUGUUGUGCCUAUAGAUAUUAUACUUGGAAGUAAAUAUUUGUGUUUGUUUCUUUUCAAAGUUUGGUACUGGAUCAAACUGCAACUCUAAUAUUGUAAGUAUGUGGGUAGAAGUGAAUGGCGCAAUAUCUGAUUUUUGAAUGAAUCUCAUAGGGUGACAUUAAUUUGACUAGUAGCAUGUUUAGUAAGCCAUUUUUAAGUUUAGCAAGUAGUAUUGUAAUUUAGACCCUAUGGUCAUCUUGAAGGACAGUAUUGCUUUUAAAAUCGCUUACAU
rnacentral:lncRNA from 1 species